GGGGCUGGUUGUACGUCUGGUGAGUGCCACGGUCUUCAAAACCGCCUGGGAGGCGCGUGCCGUCUUCGGUGGGUUCGAUUCCCACACAGUCCC
rnacentral:tRNA from 2 species